rnacentral:other from 1 species
AACACCCUGCUAUGUGCGUGAUUACUCUGAAGUUUUGAGCCAACACUGCUUGAAAGGGAGUCCGGACUCUGGUUGUGGCUUACAUGCCCUUGAAACACCAGGGAAGUAAAAAUCAAUCAGGAGGGCACCCACCUGUUUGAACAGGUUCAAGGAAAUUUUGGGGUUUUGACGGCAUUAGUGGGGUUCAU